UACGAAGGGGGCUAGCGUUGUUCGGAAUCACUGGGCGUAAAGGGCGCGUAGGCGGCUUGAUAAGUCGGGGGUGAAAGCCUGUGGCUCAACCACAGAAUUGCCUUCGAUACUGUCUGGCUUGAGACCGGAAGAGGUAAGUGGAACUGCGAGUGUAGAGGUGAAAUUCGUAGAUAUUCGCAAGAACACCAGUGGCGAAGGCGGCCAACUGGUCCGGUACUGACGCUGAGGUGCGAAAGCGUGGGGAGCAAACAGG
rnacentral:rRNA from 1 species